rnacentral:rRNA from 1 species
GAGAGUUUAAGAGGGCGUGAAACUGCUUAGAAAGAAACGGACGGAGCUGAUAAGUCGUCUGUCGGAUUCAGUAUACCGAAGCUCGUCAUUAGUGGAGGUGUAUGCACUUUUGGCAGAUGAGCGUUGCGACCGAUGUUUUCACUGGUAAAGGCCUUAGGUAUGCCGGCUAGAUCCCUAGGAUUUAGUGUCCCUGCUUUAGUGCUUGCUCCUGGUUGAAAGUAUCGCGGACCACACGUGCCCGACAUUAGUCUCGAGGUGGACGCCCUGGUAUUGGCUAUCCCGUUAGGUCCUGCUUGCAGAGCCUAGCAAAUUCUAAUAUUGGCGGCGCUCUGGUACUCGAGCGGCGCAUAUGGUUUGCAGCGUCCGCGUCAGCCACCCGUCCGACCCGUCUUGAAACACGGACCAAGGAGUCUAACAUGUGCGCAAGUCAUUGAAUUAUAUAUUCAAAGGCGUAAUGAAAGUGAAGGUCAGUUUGGCUGGCUGAGGUGAGAUCUUUAGUAUUUUCUAAGGCGCAUCACCCUCCCGUCUUGUGAGUAGUGUCUCGAGGGCGGAGAUAGAGCGUACACGUUAGGACCCGAAAGAUGGUGAACUAUGCUUGAGCAGGAUGAAGCCAGAGGAAACUCUGGUGGAGGUCCGCAGCGGUUCUGACGUGCAAAUCG